rfam:Ovis aries breed Texel chromosome 3, whole genome shotgun sequence.
UCCCUGGUAGCUCAGAUGGUAAAGAAUCUGCCUGCACUGCAGGAGACCCAGGUUCGAUCCCUGGGUUGGGAA